rnacentral:rRNA from 1 species
UUCGUAGGGGGCGAGCGUUAUCCGGAAUUACUGGGUGUAAAGGGAGCGUAGACGGCGAAGUAAGCCUGAAGUGGAAGCCCGCGGCCCAACCGCGGAACUGCUUUGGGAACUGCUUAGCUGGAGUAUGGGAGGGGUAAGCGGAAUUCCUGGUGUAGCGGUGAAAUGCGUAGAUAUCAGGAGGAACACCGGUGGCGAAGGCGGCUUACUGGACCAUGACUGACGUUGAGGCUCGAAAGCGUGGGGAGCGAACAGG